AGCAUAUCAAUAAGCGGAGGAAAAGAAACUAACAAGGAUUCCCCUAGUAACGGCGAGUGAAGCGGGAAGAGCUCAAAUUUAAAAUCUGGCAGUGUAUUCUGUCCGAGUUGUAGUCUAGAGAAGCAUCAUCCGUGCUGGACCAUGUACAAGUCUCUUGGAACAGAGCGUCAUAGAGGGUGAGAAUCCCGUCCUUGACAUGGACUCCCAGUGCUUUGUGUUGUGCUCUCAACGAGUCGAGUUGUUUGGGAAUGCAGCUCAAAAUGGGUGGUAAAUUCCAUCUAAAGCUAAAUAUUGGCGAGAGACCGAUAGCGAACAAGUACCGUGAGGGAAAGAUGAAAAGCACUUUGGAGAGAGAGUUAAACAGUACGUGAAAUUGUUGAAAUGGAAACGCUUGAAGUCAGUNNCGUUCUCUGGGAUUCAGCCUUGCUUUUGCUUGGUGCAUUUCCUAGUCUACGGGCCAGCAUGAAUUUUGACCAAUGGAAAAAGCUGGGGGAAUGUGGCACUUCGGGUGUGUUAUAGCCCCUUGUCACAUACGUUGGUUGGGAUUGAGGUCUUAGUGCACGCUUCGGUUGUGCUUUGAUGCUGGCGUAAUGGCUUUAAACGACCCGUCUUGAAACACGGACCAAGGAGUCUAACAUGUCUGCGAGUGUUUGGGUGCAAAACCCGAGCGCGUAAUGAAAGUGAUAGUUGGGAACCUUUUNNGAGGGGCACCGACGCCCGGACCAGACCUUCUGUGACGGAUCCGAGGUAGAGCAUAUAUGUUGGGACCCGAAAGAUGGUGAACUAUGCCUGCAUAGGGUGAAGCCAGAGGAAACUCUGGUGGAGGCUCGUAGCGAUUCUGACGUGCAAAUCGAUCGUCAAAUGUGGGUAUAGGGGCGAAAGACUAAUCGAACCAU
rnacentral:rRNA from 1 species